rnacentral:lncRNA from 1 species
CUUCGUUACCGAUACCCUACUUUUUUAUUUUUCCUAAUUUGUCACAAUGACGUAAGGUGGCAGAAUAGGGGGAAAUUGCAGUUGGAAGGGAAAUGACUUUGCGAAUUCAUCGGUCCAACAGUUCAGCAUCGGUUCAGGUACGGUUCAGGCAAGACGGAAACAUUCCGCACUCCCUACACUGCGUCAUCAUCAAUCAUCAGUCACAACUGCGCAGCAUAUUGUUCAUUAUUCAAGGAGAAAAUGGAUUGUUAAUUCGCACAUUUGCAUGCUGCCUCUUCUCACACCUGAUAUACGAAAAUGAUGAUUCUUUAAGGACGCCGUGAGUAUAGGAGGAGUCUUUUAUUUUUUUCAAUUAUUACGCUAUACACGAAAGAAAACAAAUGAAAAAAAAAAAAAACUUUUAAAUCCAUUUCCGGCGUGCAUUCAAGCAUACGAUUGUAUUCGUGCUUGCUGGAACACGCUUUGCGUAUACAAAGUGUUGCCGUCUUCUUUGCUGACGAAAAGGGUACGGAAUGGAUCAAAACAACCUGAGACAAGCUGUUACUCCCCUCCGGCCGGAGUUAAACCGGUGAAGUUCGCAAUUCUUUUCUACUUUCGCACAGAGGCUCGACAGAGAGCACUUAUUCAACGGUAUUCACGCCCAGUCUAUUAAAAUGGAUCGUCAACCAUUUCCUCUCGCCGAAUGUCGGUAGCUUCCCAUUCUUUCUUUGCCUCUUUGCCCGCAGUUUUGAGAGAAAAAAAAUUUUUGCCUCUUUUGAUAGCAGAUGGACUCAUCUCGACAUAGUUGCUGUUGGGUCAACGUUUCAAUCCAGCAGCUUAUCCGCCACUCAUCUCCGAUUACAAGAUAAAAAAGAAAAAUGUCUCCCGUCUACAGGAUCGAGGGAAACGAGGAUGUAUGGUCUUCGUGAUCUCAUCGUACAGUUGCCUGGAAUUGGAUCGAAUUUCCUUAAUAGAUAAUAACUAUCAAUGAUGGAAAAAAGAAAUCAUAAGAAAGGAUAACAAAAAGGCCAAUGGGGUCUUUCAUCCUCUGCUGUAUAGGAUUUCUCGAAUUCUCAAUGACCAUGUCCGUACAUUUUUAUACGUUCGCGGAUCCACCCUUGUAGUGACAACAUUUUACAGUGCGGAGUAACACAAAACAAAACAAAAAAAUGGAGAAGUGAAUUACCGGAUGUAUUUUAUAUGUACGGAACAUUAUGGUGCCAUGCGGAAUGAUGGCCUCGUAUAUUUUUAUGACGAAUUUCGAAUGGUCACAUUUUGUCGCAUACAACAACGCGAUGCAAAUUCCGUCCGUCCCCCCAAAUCUAUUUGCUUUCCGCUUCAAGUGUGUGACGUAAAAAUAAACCGUGUCUCACUUGUCUGUUGUCAUACAAUAAUAGUUGGAAAGUACGACGGAAGUGCGCAGAAACUAGCGAACCGCAGCGUCAGCUGAUCAGCAGAGCAACACAACUUUCAACUUUUCGCUUCUGUCUUUUUCUACGUGUGACUGAUGAAUCGUCUCAAA